UGUACUUGAUGUUGCCGUUGCCCGAGUCCACGUCGGAGUGGAGCUGCGCGAGGGAAGAUCAAAUCGUGUCACGCUUCAAGAGCUCUGGAGCAUGAAACAUGACGCUCGUUCGAUGUCAUCGCACUCGUCGCUGUUUUGACUGAUGUCGCCGUUGUUGUUGUUGAGGCGUGCCGCCCCCAAUCGCGCCCCGAGUAUGAGCCUCCCAUCACCCGCAAUUCCCCACGACAACCGGCCCCCCCCCCAACUCUUGAGGAGGAAGAGACUCUUGGAUGACACUGAUCGGGAUCCGACCUAUCAAAGUGAAGAUAGGUCUCACGUACAUGUAGCGAGCCCACCCUCGUCGUCGUCGAGCCUCAACUCACCCGUCCCACCAGAACAGGAUCCGGUCCGGUGUACUCCUCAAUGACA